rnacentral:lncRNA from 10 species
UGAAAACCACCCUAUGGCUGACACCAAGGUGAAAGGAAAGGACUGGUACCUAAUAGCAAAAGCAGCAGUAUAUGUGUGUGCAUGUGUGUAUUACUACAAAUACAUCUGUUCCGGCAAGGUAUCUCUACUACAGAAUCAACCCGCGGGAAUGUUUAGCUGAGGCUCCAGAGACCCUGUUGAGGAGUGUGCCGUGUCUGAGGUCAACUGGUAAAAAAGCCCUCACAGGAGGCUCAGGACCGCCUCCGGGCAUACGCAGAGCCCUAGCGGCAGAAAAGAACUGUCAGCCGCAUGAAAAUGCAAGUGCAGCAGUGACCCGAGUCAGACCGACAAAAACAAACUAACUUUCAACACAGGUUUUCAUCUCAUUUCCUCAACUCCAUUUGAAACACAUAUGCACACAGGACUGCUGACCAAUUAUUCCAGAGCUCAGUCUAUACCACUUUACACAUCUGGAUGACUAAUUUCAACUAAAGAAACUCCUAGAGAGUGUAUUCAGUCUACACAGAUCUGUUAAUACAUUGCUAUGGGAUGAGCUUCAACAAGCUGUAAAGUUUCGCUUUAACAUUCAAAUACAAUCUUAGGCCAGGUGCGGUGGCUCAUGCCUGUCAUCCCAGCACUUUGGGAGGCUAAGGCAGGCGGAUCACCUGAAGUCAGGAGUUUGAGACCAGCCUGGCCAACAUAGUGAAACUCUGCCUCUACUAAAAAUACAAAAAUUAGCUGGGUGUGGUGGCAUGCGCCUGUAGUCCCAGCUACUCAGGAGGCUGAGGCAGGAGAAUCGCUUGAACUCAGGAGGCAGAGCUUACAGUGAGCCGAGAUUGUGCCACUGAACUCCAGCCUGGGCGACACAAUGAGACUCUGUCUCAAAACAAAACAAAACAAAACAAACAAACGAACAAAAAACAAAUAUAAUUUUAAAGUCAUUCUCUCAUCCCAGAAACAUCCCUGCUGGCCUAUGAAGUGCCAGCCACUGUUCUAUACAUUGGAGACAUUCUAAUAGCAGAAGACGGAACAGAAAAGGAUUUUUAAAAAAGUAAAACAGAGAUAGACAAAUGAGUUUUGCAAGGGCAAGCAUUUGCUAUUUUAUCUAGGAUAAGCAGAGAAGGCCUCUUUUAUGGCAUUUGAGCAGACAGCUGACAGAAAGGGAGAAAACCAUGCAAAAAAUGUAGAAAAGUCACUGCAAACAGAGGGAAGAGCAAGUGCAAAGGCCCUGGGGCAUGUGUAUGUUUACCAGCUGGCCCUGGGGCGUGCAUAUGUUUGGUGUGCACCAGGAAGAGGACCAAGGCCAAGGUUCUUUCUCUGAGUAAGGGUUUUGAACUGAGGCAUGACAGGAUCUGACUCAUGUUCUAGAAGAAUCACUGUGAUGGCUGGGUGAAGAAUUGCAGCGGGGCAGGAAUGAGAACAGGAAGAAUUGUAGUGGGGUAGAAGUGAGAGAGAAGUGAAACCCAGUUGGAAGGAAGGUGACUGCAAUAGUCCAGGUAAGAAUGGUGGUGCCUUGGACCCAGUGGUAGCAGUGAAAAAGGUGAGAGGCGCCUGGGCCCUGGAUAUACUCUGAACGCCCGUGGAGCAGACAGAACUGGCUGAUGGCCUGGCUGUGGGGGUAAAAGAAAAAAGAGAUAUAUAUCCAAGGUUUCUGGCCUAAACAAAUGGAGGACUGGAGGUCAUGUCCUUCAGUGGAGAAGACUGAGCAUGGUCCACCCUCAGGGAGAAAGCUCAGAGGCUCAGCUGGAGUGUGUUAUCAUCUGAGGCAUCUAUCAGAGGAUACCUAUCAGCCACCUCACCAGGGAUGGGGAGCACCCAGCAGGGACUCCAGCGGGCAGCUGGGCUGUGGACUGAAAUCCGGAGUCUGCAGCAUUUAGUUGUUAUUUAAAGCUGGGAGCACGCAUGAGGUCAUCUAGGGAGAAGAUAUAAUUAGAGAAGUCAGAGGACCGAGCCCUGGGGCCUUCUACAUCGUAAAGGAUAAGGGAUGAGGAAGAACCAGCAAACGAGAUGGGGAGGAGUGACCAGUGAAGCCAAGCGAAGCAAGUGUUGGCAAGAAGGGUGUCAGUUGAUUCCAUGUGUCCAGCACUGCUGAGAGGUGAAGCAAUUCCAAGACAGAAUCCUAUUCCUGUGGCAACAGGAACCUUUGGUGACCUUGGCAAAAGCUGUCUCAGCAGAGUGCUGGACGGAAGCCCUCAUGGAGGAAAGAGGAAUUAACACUGAGUGGAUUGAAGAUGACAGCUCCCGAUCUUACUGCUCUCAUUCCCCACCAAAUCAGAGAUGGAGGGGAAGAAGCCCUCACCACCCUCCAUCCCUGCCACUUGCCUUAGUCCUGUGAAGGAGUCACAGCCUUAAGAGUGCUCUGGUGACUGCUUUGAUCGACCAGAUUUGAUAGAUCACAAGAAUGCCAUUAUGGACGACAGUUUUUUUCCUGUGUAUUGGACAUAAUAGAAAUGAAGUUAAAACCAAAAGCUUGAGUCUCUAAGGCAGCAUUCCCAAAACGGUCUGCCCUUACCUAUUUUGAAAGAGUCACAUGACUUCAUCCGGGACCUGAAAUGGAUUUUCUCCAUCUUAAAAUCUCAUGGCCUACGAAUGACAUUAUUCACUGAACACUCAUCCAAAGUGGCAGCAGCACGGAAUGGAGGAGGGUCACUGCUCCCUAACAAAUCACACCGUCGAGCAGCACAACACACAUCCUGUAUGUUUAAGUCAUGACAACUAUAUGACCCUCUCGCUGACUAAUGAUCAACAAAUGAGCCUCCAAAGGCCAUUAUCGAAACUCUUAUGCUCAUAUUCUAGCCCAAAAUGCACAUUUGGGGAUGGGGAAAGUGGUCUCAGGUCUGAUUCAUUGAAUAAAUAUAUCUCCUUUGAUGGAAAGAAAUGACAAAUGUCGUGCCUUCCUCUUCCACUCCUAUAAAUGCUAGAAGUGCAGAGUGAAAGG